ACUGCUCAGUAACACGUGGACAAUCUACCCUGAAGUGGAGAAUAAUCCCGGGAAACUGGGGGUAAUACUCCAUAGUUCGUUAUUACUGGAAUGUUUUUCGAACGAAAGAUCCGUCGCUUCAGGAUGAGUCUGCGGCCGAUUAGGUAGUUGUUGGGGUAAUUGCCCAACAAGCCUGUAAUCGGUACGGGUUGUGGGAGCAAGAGCCCGGAGAUGGAUUCUGAGACACGAAUCCAGGCCCUACGGGGCGCAGCAGGCGCGAAAACUUUACCAUGCGGGCAACCGUGAUAAGGAAACCCCGAGUGCCAGCACAGGCUGGCUGUCCGCCAGUUUAAACAACUGGCGAAGAAAGGGCCGGGCAAGACCGGUGCCAGCCGCCGCGGUAAUACCGGCGGCUCGAGAGGUGGCCGCUAUUACUGGGCUUAAAGGGUCCGUAGCUUGAUAAUAGGGUCCCUUGAGAAAUCCGCCGGCUUAACUGGCGGGCGUUCAGGGGAAACUUGUUUUCUAGGGACCGGGAGAGGUGAGGGGUACUGCCGGGGUAGGAGUGAAAUCCUGUAAUCCCGGUGGGACCACCUAUGGCGAAGGCAUCUCACCAGAACGGGUCCGACAGUGAGGGACGAAAGCUGGGGGAGCAAACCGGAUUAGAUACCCGGGUAGUCCCAGCUGUAAACGAUGCGCGUUAGGUGUGUCAGUGAUCACGUGUCACUGAGAUGCCGAAGGGAAACCGUGAAACGCGCCGCCUGGGGAGUACGGUCGCAAGGCUGAAACUUAAAGGAAUUGGCGGGGGAGCAC
rnacentral:rRNA from 1 species